GGAGGGGAAGCGAUAAUUUGCACCCAGUUUCGACCUGGUACUAGAUGGUUUUCAUCCUCCUCCA
rnacentral:tRNA from 1 species